rnacentral:rRNA from 1 species
GUUAAGCGACUAAGCGUACACGGUGGAUGCCCUGGCAGUCAGAGGCGAUGAAGGACGUGCUAAUCUGCGAUAAGCGUCGGUAAGGUGAUAUGAACCGUUAUAACCGGCGAUUUCCGAAUGGGGAAACCCAGUGUGUUUCGACACACUAUCAUUAACUGAAUCCAUAGGUUAAUGAGGCGAACCGGGGGAACUGAAACAUCUAAGUACCCCGAGGAAAAGAAAUCAACCGAGAUUCCCCCAGUAGCGGCGAGCGAACGGGGAGCAGCCCAGAGCCUGAAUCAGUGUGUGUGUUAGUGGAAGCGUCUGGAAAGGCGCGCGAUACAGGGUGACAGCCCCGUACACAAAAAUGCACAUGCUGUGAGCUCGAUGAGUAGGGCGGGACACGUGGUAUCCUGUCUGAAUAUGGGGGGACCAUCCUCCAAGGCUAAAUACUCCUGACUGACCGAUAGUGAACCAGUACCGUGAGGGAAAGGCGAAAAGAACCCCGGCGAGGGGAGUGAAAAAGAACCUGAAACCGUGUACGUACAAGCAGUGGGAGCACGCUUAGGCGUGUGACUGCGUACCUUUUGUAUAAUGGGUCAGCGACUUAUAUUCUGUAGCAAGGUUAACCGAAUAGGGGAGCCGAAGGGAAACCGAGUCUUAACUGGGCGUUAAGUUGCAGGGUAUAGACCCGAAACCCGGUGAUCUAGCCAUGGGCAGGUUGAAGGUUGGGUAACACUAACUGGAGGACCGAACCGACUAAUGUUGAAAAAUUAGCGGAUGACUUGUGGCUGGGGGUGAAAGGCCAAUCAAACCGGGAGAUAGCUGGUUCUCCCCGAAAGCUAUUUAGGUAGCGCCUCGUGAAUUCAUCUCCGGGGGUAGAGCACUGUUUCGGCAAGGGGGUCAUCCCGACUUACCAACCCGAUGCAAACUGCGAAUACCGGAGAAUGUUAUCACGGGAGACACACGGCGGGUGCUAACGUCCGUCGUGAAGAGGGAAACAACCCAGACCGCCAGCUAAGGUCCCAAAGUCAUGGUUAAGUGGGAAACGAUGUGGGAAGGCCCAGACAGCCAGGAUGUUGGCUUAGAAGCAGCCAUCAUUUAAAGAAAGCGUAAUAGCUCACUGGUCGAGUCGGCCUGCGCGGAAGAUGUAACGGGGCUAAACCAUGCACCGAAGCUGCGGCAGCGACGCUUAUGCGUUGUUGGGUAGGGGAGCGUUCUGUAAGCCUGCGAAGGUGUGCUGUGAGGCAUGCUGGAGGUAUCAGAAGUGCGAAUGCUGACAUAAGUAACGAUAAAGCGGGUGAAAAGCCCGCUCGCCGGAAGACCAAGGGUUCCUGUCCAACGUUAAUCGGGGCAGGGUGAGUCGACCCCUAAGGCGAGGCCGAAAGGCGUAGUCGAUGGGAAACAGGUUAAUAUUCCUGUACUUGGUGUUACUGCGAAGGGGGGACGGAGAAGGCUAUGUUGGCCGGGCGACGGUUGUCCCGGUUUAAGCGUGUAGGCUGGUUUUCCAGGCAAAUCCGGAAAAUCAAGGCUGAGGCGUGAUGACGAGGUACUACGGUGCUGAAGCAACAAAUGCCCUGCUUCCAGGAAAAGCCUCUAAGCAUCAGGUAACAUCAAAUCGUACCCCAAACCGACACAGGUGGUCAGGUAGAGAAUACCAAGGCGCUUGAGAGAACUCGGGUGAAGGAACUAGGCAAAAUGGUGCCGUAACUUCGGGAGAAGGCACGCUGAUAUGUAGGUGAAGUCCCUCGCGGAUGGAGCUGAAAUCAGUCGAAGAUACCAGCUGGCUGCAACUGUUUAUUAAAAACACAGCACUGUGCAAACACGAAAGUGGACGUAUACGGUGUGACGCCUGCCCGGUGCCGGAAGGUUAAUUGAUGGGGUCAGCGCAAGCGAAGCUCUUGAUCGAAGCCCCGGUAAACGGCGGCCGUAACUAUAACGGUCCUAAGGUAGCGAAAUUCCUUGUCGGGUAAGUUCCGACCUGCACGAAUGGCGUAAUGAUGGCCAGGCUGUCUCCACCCGAGACUCAGUGAAAUUGAACUCGCUGUGAAGAUGCAGUGUACCCGCGGCAAGACGGAAAGACCCCGUGAACCUUUACUAUAGCUUGACACUGAACAUUGAGCCUUGAUGUGUAGGAUAGGUGGGAGGCUUUGAAGUGUGGACGCCAGUCUGCAUGGAGCCGACCUUGAAAUACCACCCUUUAAUGUUUGAUGUUCUAACGUUGACCCGUGAUCCGGGUUGCGGACAGUGUCUGGUGGGUAGUUUGACUGGGGCGGUCUCCUCCUAAAGAGUAACGGAGGAGCACGAAGGUUGGCUAAUCCUGGUCGGACAUCAGGAGGUUAGUGCAAUGGCAUAAGCCAGCUUGACUGCGAGCGUGACGGCGCGAGCAGGUGCGAAAGCAGGUCAUAGUGAUCCGGUGGUUCUGAAUGGAAGGGCCAUCGCUCAACGGAUAAAAGGUACUCCGGGGAUAACAGGCUGAUACCGCCCAAGAGUUCAUAUCGACGGCGGUGUUUGGCACCUCGAUGUCGGCUCAUCACAUCCUGGGGCUGAAGUAGGUCCCAAGGGUAUGGCUGUUCGCCAUUUAAAGUGGUACGCGAGCUGGGUUUAGAACGUCGUGAGACAGUUCGGUCCCUAUCUGCCGUGGGCGCUGGAGAACUGAGGGGGGCUGCUCCUAGUACGAGAGGACCGGAGUGGACGCAUCACUGGUGUUCGGGUUGUCAUGCCAAUGGCACUGCCCGGUAGCUAAAUGCGGAAGAGAUAAGUGCUGAAAGCAUCUAAGCACGAAACUUGCCCCGAGAUGAGUUCUCCCUGACCCUUUAAGGGUCCUGAAGGAACGUUGAAGACGACGACGUUGAUAGGCCGGGUGUGUAAGCGCAGCGAUGCGUUGAGCUAACCGGUACUAAUGAACCGUGAGGCUUAACCUUACAACGCCGAAGGUGUUU